rnacentral:rRNA from 1 species
ACUCCUACGGGAGGCAGCAGUGGGGAAUAUUGCACAAUGGGGGAAACCCUGAUGCAGCCAUGCCGCGUGUGUGAAGAAGGCCUUCGGGUUGUAAAGCACUUUCAGUAGGGAGGAAGGUAGUGUAGUUAACACCUGCAUUAUUUGACGUUACCUACAGAAGAAGCACCGGCUAACUCCGUGCCAGCAGCCGCGGUAAUACGGAGGUGCGAGCGUUAAUCGGAAUUACUGGGCGUAAAGCGCAUGCAGGCGGCCUGUUAAGUCAGAUGUGAAAGCCCGGGGCUUAACCUCGGAAUUGCAUUUGAAACUGGCAGGCUAGAGUCUUGUAGAGGGGUUAGAAUUUCAGGUGUAGCGGUGAAAUGCGUAGAGAUCUGAAGGAAUACCAGUGGCGAAGGCGGCCCCUGGACAAAGACUGACGCUCAGAUGCGAAAGCGUGGGAGCAAACGAGGAUUAGAUACCCC